CACGUACAAAUAAGACUUUGAUCAGUUCCUAAAGGGUAUUUUGGGUAUUUUAGAUGUGUUUAUAAAUCUUUGACACCAGAAAAUUUCAUUCUUCCAAAUCAAAAUCCAAAGUCCCUUAGAAAUUCCCUAGAACUCUAUUGGAGCCAAAAUUCAAGGAAGGGAUUGGAUUGGAGAAUUGAAUGGAGAUUCUUCAUCAAAUUUAAGAAUUAGAUCCGUUGAGUUGCAUUGGCAUUUGGCAAGGCUAUCCAAUAGAGCCUCUCUCACCGGAAAAUGAGUACCACGAAAUUAUUCAAAAUUCCCAACUUUUCUGGAACAAGCUUCAACAAUACUCCACAUCACUGCCUACCAAUUUCAAAUUUUAGCAGAGAAAUAUCAAGGACAGCUGAUGAUCGUGCUUGAGUCUGAGGUCAACUACCAUUGAAGAUUUGAAUUAUCUUAUUGCUAAUGCAAGGAGUAUGUGAAGAGGUUCUGCAGGAGCAGAAACAAGUCCAAGAAAGAGACUAUUAUGAAGCGCACCUAGAAAUAUGAGGUUGAUGAAUAAAGAAGAUAUUUAUUCACAGUUGAAGAAACUGAACAAGUAUGCUUGUGUCAUUCAUGUGUUGGUUCAAGAUUGUUUUUGGCUGACACAUUACAGUAGAUUGGCUUUUGAUUUAUAAAAACAAAAACAUCCCUGCUUGACUGGGUGGUACCUUCUUUCUACAAAGUUUGUCUUGAAGAUGAGGUUGUAAUGUUCAUUAAUCUUCCUUCUUCGAUUGAUUUAUUUUUAUGUGAAAUAUUUCUUGAUGAGAAGAUAUUUGUAAAUCUACAGUUGACAGACUAAUCAGGAUAUAGAAAAGAAUGCAUAGCUUUACCGGGUUGAAGAAAAAUGAAUAAGAUCGGUAAAAUUUCCAACUUGACUGAAUGAGACUUCGACUGCACAACUUCACUUAACUUUCAUGUUGUCUGUUGGAGAAGAGAGAAUAUUAUUCAAAAAUAAAUGUUGUGAUUGCAUACACAAUUUUUCUUCAUGUUUCAUCCAUAGGGAAGAUCCAAUCGUUACUAGAUCAAAAGCUGAUUUCUCGGGUAGUAGGUGAAUUUGAUUCCGCGGGGCUGCUUUCAUUUGGCGUUUUCUUCCUUUUGUGUAAAGAGAUGAAAUAAUGUACUGUUUGUCUUGAACUUGAUUGUCUAAGUCAAAUUUAUUAGCCAUUAUUGGUGUAGUUUUGUUUUGGAUAUAUGCAAUGCCUAUAUUACUUGGGAAGACAUUCUCCCGUGUAAAAUAAGUACUUAUACGACCUAUUUUUACAUUAAAGUAGUUAUGUCUUUAUGUUUU